rnacentral:tRNA from 1 species
AGCGGGGUAGGGCAGAAUGCUCGGAGAAUUCCCUGCAUGUCCAAUCAGGAGUGCCCGAUGGGCUCAUAACCCAUAGGUCGCUGGUUCAAAUCCAGCCCCCGCUA